CCUACGGGAGGCAGCAGUGGGGAAUCUUGCGCAAUGGGCGAAAGCCUGACGCAGCCAUGCCGCGUGAAUGAUGAAGGUCUUAGGAUUGUAAAAUUCUUUCACCGGGGACGAUAAUGACGGUACCCGGAGAAGAAGCCCCGGCUAACUUCGUGCCAGCAGCCGCGGUAAUACGAAGGGGGCUAGCGUUGCUCGGAAUUACUGGGCGUAAAGGGAGCGUAGGCGGAUAGUUUAGUCAGAGGUGAAAGCCCAGGGCUCAACCUUGGAAUUGCCUUUGAUACUGGCUAUCUUGAGUACGGAAGAGGUAUGUGGAACUCCGAGUGUAGAGGUGAAAUUCGUAGAUAUUCGGAAGAACACCAGUGGCGAAGGCGACAUACUGGUCCGUUACUGACGCUGAGGCUCGAAAGCGUGGGGAGCAAACAGGAUUAGAUACCCUGGUAGUCCACGCUGUAAACGAUGAGUGCUAGUUGUCGGCAUGCAUNCAUGUCGGUGACGCAGCUACGCAUUAAGUACACUCCGCCGUCGGGGUAGGUACGGGUUCCGGCGAAGAAUUAAAACCUUAACCAAACUAGAAGUUAGUACGGCGUGAGACGUGCCGACGGACGACCGACCGAGGGAGGUUAGG
rnacentral:rRNA from 1 species